ACGAGAGGGAGGAGGAGGUGGAGGUGGAGGUGGAAUUGGAGGUGGAGAUGGAGAAGGAGGAGGAGGUGAAGGUGGAGGUGGAAGUGGAGGUGGAGAAGGAGAAGGAGGAGGAGGUGAAGGUGGAGGAGGAGGUAACUUUAUUCUCUUACAGUCCUCAUAUAAGGCAACCACGAGGUCUGUUUUUUUUCUUUUUAAAGGAGGAGGAGGAACAAAGGAACACAAAGAGAGAACAAACAACAGCAGGCCUGCUGGUCCUUACGAGGCUGUUUGUGAUAAGCUACACUAACUAUCUAAUCAAAGGUGGAAGAUGAAGGACAGCAAAGGCGAAGGCCGUGGUGAGCAAAUCAGGGAAGUAAAGUAACGGAACAGGCCGAGGCAGCAACACUAUAAUAUAGUCGCCAAGUCAGUCAGUUCGGGGCCUCGCCAUUCGCGCCAAUCCCGGGCAGAAUCUUGGCGGUUCAGUCUCCUUCCUUCGCCCUGUCAACUUCCCACUUUCGUCACAUCACUUUCCUUCCUUCCCUCGUUCCUUCCUUCCUUCCUUCCUUCCCUCGUUGUUGCUUUCCUUCCUUCCUUCCCUCGUUCCUUCCUUCGUCCUGUCAUCUUUCUCCAUCCUCCCUUCCUCCUGUCACCUUCCCCCCUUUAUUCCUCCCUUCCUCUGUCACCUUCCUUUGGCCUUCGUCCUGCCAUCCUUGAUCCAACAAAAACGGUCUCCGGCGCCUUCACUGUAUUUUCGAUUGAUUUGAAUUAAUCCCGUCUGGAAUUUUAAGAGGCUCAUCUUGCUAUCCACCCUCCUCGCCUCGCGGGGCUGGGGAGCGUCAGGGGGCCCAAGGCCUUCCUGGCGAGCGUCGCAGGGCUCAGGGCUCCGGCAGGGCGCCUCGGCUCCCCCGGAGCGUCCACGGAGGUGUCGGAGAUCCCGAGGGUCCGGGGGUUGGGGGGGCGUGAAGUGGCAGCAAGACAUGCAGUUACUGACCUCUUAUUAGCCAGACGACGCGUUAAUGACACGUUCCAAUGGAAGGUUCGACGCAUGGGGAGGUACAAUUCCCCUAAGCAAGGCAAGUGUCAUGCCAACUACGAUAAAAAACGAAAAAUACAAAAAAAAUACAAAAACAAAAAAUCCAAAAAAAAUUGUCUUGUUUUGCUUUGUUUAAAGCGUCUUGUAUGUUGGCAUGGCGGGUCUUCUCUGGGGAGAAGGAGACUAACGCGUUCCAACAUACAAAACCAGGAAAAGACGACAUGGAAACACCGAGAGAAGGAAGGGAAAGAAGGGAACACCAGAAGAAGGAAAAUGAGGAGAAGUAACACUAGAAGAAGGCAUAUGAAGUAACACAAGAAGAAGGAAGUUGAAAAGAGUAACACAAGAAAAAGGAAUUUGAAAAGAGUAACACAAAAAAAAGGAAUUUGAAAAGAGUUACACAGAAGAAGGUAUUGAAAAGAGUUACACAGAAGAAGGUAUUGAAAAGAGUUACACAGAAGAAGGUAUUGAAAAGAGUUACACAGAAGAAGGUAUUGAAAAGAGUAACACAGAAGAAGGUAUUGAAAAGAGUAACACAGAAGAAGGUAUUGAAAAGAGUAACACAGAAGAAGGUAUUGAAAAGAGUUACACAGAAGAAGGUAUUGAAAAGAGUAACACAGAAGAAGGUAUUGAAAAGAGUUACACAGAAGAAGGUAUUGAAAAGAGUAACACAGAAGAAGGUAUUGAAAAGAGUUACACAGAAGAAGGUAUUGAAAAGAGUUACACAGAAGAAGGUAUUGAAAAGAGUUACACAGAAGAAGGUAUUGAAAAGAGUAACACAGAAGAAGGUAUUGAAAAGAGUUACACAGAAGAAGGUAUUGAAAAGAGUAACACAGAAGAAGGUAUUGAAAAGAGUUACACAGAAGAAGGUAUUGAAAAGAGUAACACAGAAGAAGGUAUUGAAAAGAGUUACACAGAAGAAGGAAUUUGAAAAGAGUAACACAAGAAGAAGGAAUUUGAAGAUAAAUAACACAAGAAGAAGAAAUGUGAAGUAACACCGGAAGGAAAAUGCAGAGAAGUAACACUAGAAAAAUGAAAAUGGAAAUGAAAAGAAUCAUCCACCUUUCGGCCCAAACCAACAUCACAAAAUUAUGGGCGAGUCUCUUCUGGGAGGAAAGCGGCUCGUUCAGACCCAGGAACACCAGAAAGGAUGAUAGAAACAUCAAGAAAAGGAAAACAGAAAAGUCAUCCACCUUUCGGCCCCUGGGGCCGCAGGGUGGGUGACGGGUGAAUCUCCUCUGGGGAGAAGGAGGCUAACCCACACAGUCAAGAUAGAGGAUAGAGAAAGGAAAUUAAAUCAUCGAGAAAAGAAAAUGAAAUUACAAUAUCAAGAAAAUAACUAAAAAGUCAUCGAGCUUUCGGCCCCUGGGGCCGCAGGGCGGGUGACGGGUGAGUCUUCUGAGGAGGAGGAGGCUCAUCCACAGCCAGCAACACCAACAGAAAGAAAAGAAAAGAAAACAUCAUGAGAAAAGAAAAGAAAACAUCAAGAGAAAAGAAAAGAAAAGGAAAAGAAAAGAAAAGAACAAAGUAAACAAAGCAAAACAAGACAAAACAAAAACAAAACAAAAUAAAACAAAUUAAAACAACAUAAUAAAUAAAUAAAUAAA